CCUUGUUUCCUUAUGUUGGAAAAUCUUACUGUUGAUGCAGAAUGUCUAAUUUACCAUGUUCUAAUUUUAACCCUUUCAGUAUCUAUCAUCUUCGUUAUUCACAUAAGAUUCAUUACAGCUAUUCAGAUUGAUGUGAAACCAAAGAGCCAAUUAAACUAGCAUCUUCAGUAUGUAUUAUGAAACCAAAGAGCCAAAUGAAACUAGCAUCUUCAGGAUGUAUUAAUCUUUUGGUAAAUUUGUUGGUUUAACUGUACUGUAUCAAAUACAUCACAUUAAAUGAUUAACCUACUAACUUUUCUCUUUUCUUAUCUUUCAACUGCCUUCGGUCACCAUUUCCUUCUCUCUUUUGAUGCAAUUAAUAUUUCCCCAAAUUCAGUAUAGUAGUUCUUUCAACAGGUCAUGGUCUUCAGUUUUCCAUCAAAGGUUUGCAGGUAGCUGAGAAUCCAUGGAAUAACAUUUCUUGUCAAGGCAUCCAGCCCCUCCUCGAAGAACCUGUGCUUUUGCCUGACAAACCUGGGGAUUCUAAACGAGCUAAUAUACAAGUCUUCAUCAACUUUGAUCAAUCUUAUAAUGGAGGAGGCAAUAUAACAUGCAAAGGAAAUCUUGGAGGAAAUGAGUUUUUCACAACAAGGAUCUUCCAAGGACAACUCCCUUUGAGAGAUCUACCUGUGACGUUCACAUAUUCCGUAAAAUCGAAUGGUAAUUCUCAGAUGAGCCUGCUACUCCAAUCAACUUCUGAGAGCGAUGACAAACAGGCUUCCAUGCAUAGUUUUCGUCAAUUCUGAUGAUGUCCCCUUCCUAGACAAGUUAAAACCAAUAUGGACCAGUGAUUUGUGUAACGGGGGAGAAAACAAAGAGAGAGAACCUAAUGGGUGCACCUUGGAUCUUACAUGAGUCUAGUAUAGCGAUGAAUGAUUCUACAAUAACCAAUAUGUAUCUCUGUGGCUACAUGAAGAAGCAAGACCAAGAGGAACCAAAAUUAGAUGACAGCUCUGACUAUUUUGCAUCUCUUGGUCAUAUCAGCAUAAAAAAUUCCUCAGAAGGCACAAAAUUCCCGUCAGCUGACUCGUGGAGUACUCACGUAGAGGAUGUGACA